CUUGGUGAACUUGGCGAACUUAGUGAAGUGAAUGUGUCAAUUGUGGACCACUUUUUCUGUCAUCAACUACCAGUGCUGUGGAACAAAUUCUGUGAUACAACUUUCUGUUCAAAGAGAAACAAUGGUCACAGGUGCACGAUGUCAUCAUUGAGCAUAUUGCCACGGACUGUGUUAUUAACGGCAACAUCCCUUAUUUUAAAUUAUUCCUGAAUUUCUGGGUAUUCCAGUUUGACCUGACUCGGGACGCGAUCAACGACGAGACCGAGGCACUCAAGCUCAAAAUGUUCCCAUGCCCGAUGCCAAAGCAUUGAUUCUGUCAGAACGAAAUUCCAGCUUAUCUGAUUCGGUCAUUCUUUGCCCUGGAUCCGCGAAUUGAUAGCUGUGAUGCGAAAUGGGCUCGAGAAGCUGCCCCUGCCCCAGGAGGCAUAUGUUGAGCGCGAGGAAUUGCGGCAUAUGUUGAGCGCGUUCUUGGACGAGGAUCUGCGGAAGCAGCAAUGGAAUAGUGUUUGAACGAAUUAUAAUGUUAUUUUAAUCGUAUUUUUUUUUACUGUAAUAGUGAAAUAAAAACCACUCUAGAAUGAAUGGAUGUACAUACAUUCUCUUGUAGGCAAAUUCCAAGAUAAUUACAGGAAGUGAACACAUUAUGCAUAUAAAUAAAUAGUGCCCCUGGCUUGUUACGGAAUGUUAUUAUUAUUGGUUCAUCAAAUUGCACUUUUAUCUAACCGUGUUUCUGAGACUGUUGAAAAAAUAUGAGGCAACGUGUGAAAUAAAUCAUGCUAUUUGUGGAAGCUUGGAAACAAAAUAAUUAUACGUAUGAAUGAGUAAACCACAACUGGAUUAAAGUUAGUUUUUGUAAAAGUAUUCUGAAGUGGGGCGGAAGUAUUUACGAUAGAUACGGUAUGAACGCCGAUAUGA